rnacentral:rRNA from 1 species
GCUGGCAGCUAGCUCUCUGCAACUCUCACAUGGUCGCCCACUGAAGCUAAGCAGGGCUGCGCCCGGUCAGUACCUGGAUGGGAGACCACUAGGGAAAGCUAGGUUACUGCCGGAA